UUCAAAUCCAACCUCCUCCAAAUGUUUAACAAAUGCAGGAAAAAUAAACAACCAUCAUUAAUGGCCUACUUAUUGGCGUGAGAAAAGAAGUGAGUGUCCCUUUAAUUCUGAACCCAAGCCUAGGAUAAUCAGCCUAGAAUCAGCCUGUGGAAUGCGUCGUUUGUAAACCAGGGAUUGUUCCCAUAAUUCUUGCUUGUUGGAGAGUGUAGGGAAGCCGAGCUGGACGGAGAAAACAGUGGGAAUAUACUGAUUUUACACGACAUACCGAUUUCUUUUGAAUUAGAUCACAGACUUGUGUUUUUUCUUUCACGACUGUGCAGUGAACGUUCACAAGAGUUGUCGGACGCUACUAGCUGAGUGUAACAGCAGCAAGAACAAGAAGGAUUCUCUGCAUAGGACCUCCACAACAGCGUCGCCGAUCCUCGCCCUGAGGGAUCGGGACCAGUCUUCUACGGCCCUUGAUUGCCCCUCCG
rnacentral:lncRNA from 1 species